UACGUAGGGGGCAAGCGUUGUCCGGAUUUAUUGGGCGUAAAGAGCGUGUAGGCGGCUAGGUAGGUCCGUUGUGAAAACUCGAGGCUCAACCUCGAGACGCCGAUGGAAACCAUCUGGCUAGAGUCCGGAAGAGGAGAGUGGAAUUCCUGGUGUAGCGGUGAAAUGCGCAGAUAUCAGGAAGAACACCCGUGGCUAAGGCGGCUCUCUAGUACGGUACUGACGCUGAGACGCGGAAGCGUGGGGAGCGAACAGG
rnacentral:rRNA from 1 species